GAUGAACGCUGGCGGCGUGCCUAAUACAUGCAAGUCGAGCGAACAGACGAGGAGCUUGCUCCUCUGACGUUAGCGGCGGACGGGUGAGUAACACGUGGAUAACCUACCUAUAAGACUGGGGUAACUUCGGGAAACCGGAGCUAAUACCGGAUAAUAUAUUGAACCGCAUGGUUCAAUAGUGAAAGACGGUUUUGCUGUCACUUAUAGAUGGAUCCGCGCCGCAUUAGCUAGUUGGUAAGGUAACGGCUUACCAAGGCAACGAUGCGUAGCCGACCUGAGAGGGUGAUCGGCCACACUGGAACUGAGACACGGUCCAGACUCCUACGGGAGGCAGCAGUAGGGAAUCUUCCGCAAUGGGCGAAAGCCUGACGGAGCAACGCCGCGUGAGUGAUGAAGGUCUUCAGAUCGUAAAACUCUGUUAUUAGGGAAGAACAAAUGUGUAAGUAACUAUGCACGUCUUGACGGUACCUAAUCAGAAAGCCACGGCUAACUACGUG
rnacentral:rRNA from 1 species